rnacentral:rRNA from 1 species
UUUGUCAUUACCCAUUUACCAAUUAAUUUCUCAUUCGUCAUUUCUUAGAUUUGAUAAAUGAAAACUGGUAAAUAAUUCGGAAAAUGAUAAAUGGAAAAUGAACAAUUUAGGGUUUCCGUGAGAAUACACGAGCGGCGGACGGCUGAGUAACGCGUAGGAACGUACCCCAAAGUGAGGGAUAAGCACCAGAAAUGGUGUCUAAUACCGCAUGUGCUCCACGGAGUAAAGCUUUAUGCGCUUUGGGAACGGCCUGCGUCUGAUUAGCUUGAUGGUGAGGUAAAAGCUCACCAUGGCGACGAUCAGUAGCUGGUCUGAGAGGAUGAUCAGCCAGACUGGGACUGAGAACGGCCCAGACUCCUACGGGAGGCAGCAGUAGGGAAUUUUCCACAAUGGGCGAAAGCCAGAUGGAGCAACGCCGCGUGCAGGAUGAAGGCCUUCGGGUUGUAAACUGCUUUUCUCUGUGACGAUUUUGACGGUAGCAGAAGAAUAUGGAUCGGCUAACUCCGUGCCAGCAGCCGCGGUCAUACGGAGGAUCCAAGCGUUAUCCGGAAUUACUGGGCGUAAAGAGUUGCGUAGUGCAUAGUAAGCAAUUGUGAAAUCGUGUGCUCAACCACAU